CCUACGGGGGGCAGCAGUGGGGGAUAUUGCACAAUGGGGGAAACCCUGAUGCAGCGACGCCGCGUGGGUGAAGAAGUAUUUCGGUAUGUAAAGCCCUAUCAGCAGGGAAGAAGAAAUGGCGGUACCUGAGUAAGAAGCACCGGCUAAAGACGUGCCAGCAGCCGCGGUAAUACGGCGGGAGCAAGCGUUAUCCGGAUUUAGUGGGUGUAAAGGGCGUGUAGGCGGGCAUGCAAGCCAGAAGUGAAAUCUGGGGGCUUAACCCCCAAACUGCUUUUGGAACUGCGUGUCUUGAGUGCUGGAGAGGCAGGCGGAAUUCCCAGUGUAGCGGUGAAAUGCGUAGAUAUUGGGAGGAACACCAGUGGCGAAGGCGGCCUGCUGGACAUUAACUGACGCUGAGGCGCGAAAGCGUGGGGAGCAAACAGGAUUAGAUACCCCUGUAGUC
rnacentral:rRNA from 1 species